UAUUGCUCAUAUUGCCCGAAAGUACUCUGUACUUCCAUGGUGUACACAUCAGCGUAUCUGUUAUAAACGUGGGAGCUGGAUAAUAUUAUGAAUUCUGCGGCGGAGUUCCUUGAAGCAAAAUGGCUGGCUUUGCGCAAGUAUCUGUCGGAGAGUCAGGAAAAUUUGGGAAAUGUGUGAUAAAAGAGAAGUCUCGCCGCCGGAAGCCUCAUCCGCAUUUCGACGCCCAAUGCAAACGGUAGAACUCCUUCGUGAAACUCGGAUAUCGGCAUCAUCAUUUGCCGACUACCAUCAUGGCGGCUGUAAUCGGUAACGGAAUGGGCAAGAUCCUUCUGCAUUUUCUGUUUCGUUACGCGUGGAAUGUGACAGCUCAAAGGUCACGGGCGACGGAAAGCAUGUUCUUUAGUGUAUCCACAUCCGAGAUCUCUGCCCAAUCUUUGGUGCACGCAUGUCUUAAUAUUCCGGUGAAUCGGUGCAUUUUGGCGGUGGAUUAUACCCAAAUUUUGGAUUAUUGCAGAAUCUAGUGGGUACGGCGGGAGAUGGGGAACUUCCUGACACGGUCGGGUGCUGAAUGGUGAGGGAUAAGCAGAGAAGAGUGGAGUGCCGCAAUCAGGGAUAUGUUCUGGACGGAUAGUCACCGCCGUACGCAUCCACCCAGGAGCGUUGUGGACGCAACCGAAACGCAACUGAUGGACCAAGCGACAGUUCCAGUGUUCUUGAUUCCGGUUUCGUUCUGGAGGCGCCAGUUAAAUUCUUAAAAGACCCAAUUUUAAAUAGCUCCGCCAGACUUCCCGUAAACCUGGUCCCCAGCUCCACGCAUACCAACUCCUUAACGAGGAUGAGGACACAGUGUCAGUCUACUUCAGCGCCAUAGAUUCCUGGACAUAAGCCGCAAGGAAUCUUUCUCUAUGGUGAAAUGCUUAACCGUCAUGUUCCGGAAAGAAGGGAACGGGAGGGAGGAUUUUUAGGAAAACGAUCGGCCCGCCACGCCACCACCUCUUACCACACCCGAGGAGAAAUGCCGGGAGCGGCAAAACGAUGCUGCGUGCCGCUUACAAACAGUAGGUUUGGUUUUGGGCGUGCGCCCUGGUUUUGGGUGAUCUACGGCUGAAGAAAGCCGAAGAACGCACCAUGGAAUGUCAUAUCCUAUACAUUGCCCCGACGAAUCCGCCGGCCUCCGACUCUGCGCCGGACAGCAGAUCCUUCCGAUCGAUGAGCAGUUAGCCGCCGUCAGCAGCGUCGGAGCUGACUAUCGGGUUGACGCGGUGCGCCGGCCCCAACACGUACAGCACAUAUGGAUGUUUCCCCAGUAAUCUCGCGACCCUCUUCACCGAGAAAUGCGCGGACACGAGAUUCUGUGGAUGGUCGUCAGUCCGGCCGUUGACGACUCGGGUGCCUUUUCCACGCCAAACGGAAACUACGGACCCUUGUGUAGUUUCCCAUCAAUCUGCCUGAUCCUGGAUUCCUCAGUGAUCUCUUUUUCCAAACCGCUGAUGGAGGCCGGGCAUCCGCGCUUAAAGAUCACAUGCGUGUGGUCCCUGGCUCUCCGGGAGACAAACGACGCAAUGGGCAGUGCACCAGAGAAUGCGGAUUAAAUCCGUUCUCCACCACGGCGGUGAUAGUGUGUGAUAUUCUGAAACCCGGGAACGGUCGUCUGCGCAAGUCUGCCCGAUCCACGGGAACGGGACCAUAGGCCUUAAGCUGGGUUAUGUGCUGGGUUUCCUGGCGGUUAUCACGGAGAACGCGCAUUGUCUGCGGCACUUGGAGACCGGAGACUCGGUGCGGUGCUGUCAGAUUACAUGCGGGUACGAUAUGUAUGGGGCGUUGCAACGGCUGUCCGGGAUGUCGUCAGACUCACUGUGAUGUUGGUAGACCGUGGGCGGAGCUAUGUCGCCGGGGGAAUUUUCGGAGUUGCAGCAGCUGGAGAGCGAGCUGCGUUCAUGUAAUGUUCCGUUGUGAAAAGGGAUGGCUGUAACUGUAACCUGAUUACCCAGCGAUUUGAUCGUGUUAGCGUAGCCUAGAUGACGUAACUCCGUGAUUCAGAACGGGUGUUUUCUUUUUCGUGGUUUUUACACAAGCACUAGAAAUACUGGUUUUCAUGAUUUAUUAUUUAUUUAUUUAAUUUAAGCCAAUAAAAUUACCAAAGGUUGCUGUAAAAAUGAGCGCAGAAA